rnacentral:SRP_RNA from 1 species
GCUGGGCAUGGUGGCGCGUGCUUGUAAUCCCAGCUACUCGGGAGGCUGAGGCAGGAGAAUUGCUUGAACUGGGUCCCGGGAAGCGGAAGUUGCAGUGAAUCGAGAUUGUGCCACUGUACUCCAGCCUGGGCAACAAGAGUGAGAUUCUGUCUUUUUUUUUUUUUUUUUUUUUUUCUGAGACGGAGUCUUGCUCUGUGGCCCAGGCUGGAGUGCAAUGCACGAUCUCGGCUCACUGCAACCUCCGCCUCCCAGGUUCAAGCAAUUCUCCUGUCUCAG